rnacentral:rRNA from 1 species
GGGCCCGCACAAGCGGUGGAGUAUGUGGUUUAAUUCGAUGCAACGCGAAGAACCUUACCAGGGUUUGACAUCCUGCGAAUCUCUUGGAAACGAGAGAGUGCCUUCGGGAACGCAGUGACAGGUGGUGCAUGGCUGCGUCAGCUCGUGUCGUGAGAUGUUGGGUUAAGUCCCGCAACGAGCGCAACCCACGUCUUUAGUUGCCAGCAUUUAGUUGGGCACUCUAGAGAGACCGCCGGUGAUAAACCGGAGGAAGGUGUGGAUGACGUCAAGUCAUCAUGCCCCUUACAUCCUGGGCUACACACGUACUACAAUGGUAGUGACAAUGGGUUAAUCCCAAAAGCUAUCUCAGUUCGGAUUGUCGUCUGCAACUCGACGGCAUGAAGUCGGAAUCGCUAGUAAUCG